rnacentral:rRNA from 1 species
GAUGAACGCUGGCGGCGUGCCUAAUACAUGCCAGUCGAGCGAACGGACGAGAAGCUUGCUUCUCUGAUGUUAGCGGCGGACGGGUGAGUAACACGUGGAUAACCUACCUAUAAGACUGGGAUAACUUCGGGAAACCGUAGCUAAUACCGGAUAAUAUUUUGAACCGCAUGGUUCAAAAGUGAAAGACGGUCUUGCUGUCACUUAUAGAUGGAUCCGCGCUGCAUUAGCUAGUUGGUAAGGUAACGGCUUACCAAGGCAACGAUGCAUAGCCGACCUGAGAGGGUGAUCGGCCACACUGGAACUGAGACACGGUCCAGACUCCUACGGGAGGCAGCAGUAGGGAAUCUUCCGCAAUGGGCGAAAGCCUGACGGAGCAACGCCGCAUGAGUGAUGAAGGUCUUCGGAUCGUAAAACUCUGUUAUUAGGGAAGAACAUAUGUGUAAGUAACUGUGCACAUCUUGACGGUACCUAAUCAGAAAGCCACGGCUAACUACGUG